AAAAUAUAUGUCACUAGCAAACCCAGGGAGGAGGUGAGAUGUGAAUGGAAUCUGCAAACAAGAGUUCAGCUGAAGCCACCAGCAGGUACCAGGAGGAAGUUCCACAUUCACCAGCCUACAGUGAGGACAGAUGCCUGCUUUUGGGGACCCUGCAGUCCUAGUGGGGAGAGGGGAUGUCCAGGCAAGAUUUGGACAUUGACUGCAUGCAAGUCUAAGAACAAGCUAAGUGGGACCAAGACUGGCCAGCACUGGACACUGAAAUGCUGAAGGAGUCAUCAGGCCUGAUUCAAUCUCAGCCUGUACAAACAGCUCCAAGAGACAGAACAAAAGGCACUCAGAGUUAAUCAUGCCUACCAACCGGCAUUAGAAAUGAUCACUUUCUGGUUUAAUGAACACCCAGGGUUUACUUAACUCCAUUUCCAGAAAUCCCACAUACUAAGCUUAAGGUCUCAGAGAUCUUAAGAGAAACCUCCAAAUCAGAGAGCAGACUGUACAAUCCAGCUAUGCCAAGCUAACAACAACAUUCAACAAUAACUGUAAGAACAGGAGUAGCAGCUGUCACCCCAUCAGUUACAGCCCACCUGGUGCUGUUCUAUGAGCUGUAUAUUCAUUAGGUCAUUAAAUCCUCACAACCCUACAAGGUGCCUUCUAUUAUCUCCCCCGACUCCACAUUUCAGUCUAAAGUUUAACAAUGCUACUAAACACUAUCACCUGAUCAACAACCAACAAAUAUAUAAAAGGGUAGCUCCUUCAAUUUACAUGAAGCAAAUAAGGAGCCUUAAGAGAAUCUGUCCUAAUAUGGAAAGUAUGGACCUAUGGCUCCCAAACGAUGUACCAAGACACCCCGGGGUGUUGCAGCAAACCCACAGGGACACUAUUUUUUUUUUUUGGUUUGUUUUUUUAGGAAAACAGUAAUGCUCAGCUGUCGAAUGCUGUGCAAAGCACCAAUGUGAGACCAGACUGCAUUACAGUCCCUGCAGUGACAUCUUAUCUUUGUGAAGCUGGGUUUUCAGCAGCUACUGUGAUAAAAGACAAGUACUGUAGAAAAAUCAGCAUGGAAAAAAUGAUUGGUAUGAACCAGGAAAUAAGGGCAGUGGUGUCCAAUCUAGUUCUAAGGUUUGAGACGUUGUAGUGCCCAAUGGGUACACACACUUCACUAGUAAGUAAUUAUGGCUAAGAGUGAAAUAAAAAUAUGUUCUUUUUCUUUCAGUUUAUAUAUAUUGUUGUUUCAAAGGGCUAUUGCAUGUUAGAGCAAAAAUACAUUGUCUGAGCCCGACUCCUUAAUAAACAGAACUGUUAUUUGUGUCGUUUGGCCUGAGUGCACCAUGAAAACUCAUUGAAAGAAGCCACGAUUCCAAGGUGGAAGUCUGACCAGGCAAUAAGGAGCUCUGGGUUAGCACUUCUGUAACUAUCCGCAUGACUGACUUGCUGUUGGGGCACAGGAAAUCAGAGUAUGCAAAUCUCACA